GGAGAGGUCUGAGAGAGGGGAGGAGAAGAAACAGUCAACCAACCAGAAGCACCUCAGCAAGACGGCCCAGCUAAAGUAACAUCUCCUUAUCCAAACUUUCCCCUGGGCUGCAAGGAUGGAACAUUCCUAGCAAGGCAGGUUGAGGUUUGUGACUCGGAUACAGAAUAAACCAUUUGAGGAGAAGGAAAGGGGAGCAAACUGCUGGAGGGAUAAUAAUACAUUGCAAAGAUUCAUACUGCACUGACAACCUAUAUAAAUGCAGUUUUGGAGUUGUUGUGAGGUACAUUUAAAAUUUGACACAAAACACCAAUGAUGUCAGAUGAAACCAUUUUUCACUUUUUCAUUUAUACUCAUUUUUAUUGUCUUGAAUGCCAGUUGCAGGUUGUUUUCUAAAGACAAUGUUCAGAGAUAUUUGAUUUCACUGAUACAUACAUUUGCAUUUAAUCUAUACAACAGUAACAUAAUAAAAAUAUCAUUUAGUUCUAAAUAUGAUUUAAAGAGAUUCAUUUCUAAAACGAUAAUAAAAAGUGUUCCAACA